CUAAAUAUUGUAAGGUAACCUUGCCAAUGCUCCAUGAAAUUGAGGCAGACUUGUAUUACUGGUUUUGUCUGAAAGUUAUGUGAAUUCCUAUUUAUACCGACUGAUCUUUUUACUUCAUCAUUCUUAUCCUAUUGUUGUGUACUGUACAGUAGGUGAAGUUAAGGUUGUUGCUGAUAUGCAUAAAAGGAAUGCUGAGACGGCUAGGCAUUCCGAUGCUUUUAUUGCCUUACCAGCCUUGUCUCCCAUCCUCAAUAACGACCAGAGCUACCGAAAGCAUGAAAGCGUCUGGUCAUUAGGGUCUCUGCUCACCCCUGCUCGAAUUUCUCAUCAAUUGGAGAGUUUACAUGGUCGUGAGUUGCUUUAUCAGGGAAAAUCAAUUUGAUGAAUGUGGCAUCAUCUAUUGUCUUUCACGAAUGGACUGUGAAAAGGUCACUGAAAAGUUACAGGAUCAUUGCAGCUUUUCUCACAGUACUAGAAAAGUUUUCUAAUGUAGUUAUUGGGUGGUUGCCCAUGUAUGGAGAAUUGAAGCUUGCCUUAUUCAUAUUCAUGUGGUAUCCCAAAACUCAGGCCUAGAGGCGGUCGAGGUGGAGGUCCUGCCUUGCUGAAUCGUGGCGCUGGAAAAAAAUCUCUUUUUAAAGCAGUCACAACAGUCACAGGAGGAGGAUUCACGUUUAGCUGGAGAGCAGUCAGAGGAGGAUUCACGUUUAGCUCGAGAGCAGUCACAGGAGGAUUCACGUUUAGCUCGAGAGCAGUCACAACAGUCAUAGGAGGAUUUGCGAUUGCUCCGAGAGUGGUUCCAGAAAUUCAUGGAGUCUUUUACACAAGGCCAUUUGCAUCUACCUCCUUAUCGACCUCAUCGUUCGAGUUAGGACUAACAUCUGUGUCCACCUACUUGAUUAUUUAUCAUAUUAUUUUGAAAAUUUGAUUAUAACUUUUAGUUU